GGCUACGGCCAUAUCACGAUGAAUGCACCUCAUCCCGUCCUAUUUGAGAAGUUAAGCAUCGUCGAGCCACAUCAGUACUGAGGUUGGAGACAACUUGGGAACCUGUGGUGCUGUAGUCU
rfam:Naegleria gruberi genomic scaffold NAEGRscaffold_87, whole genome shotgun sequence.